UUCUAAAGCUUCCUAUGGAGAACUACUUCUAACAGCCCAGUGGUGAUGGAGAGUUUCUUUCCGUUAUUCAGAGUAAGAGGAUUGAAGCUCGGCAGGAGGCGCUCACCCUUUAUCCUACCAAUGAAAUAGCCCUCCUCAGAGAGUUUUUCAGUCAUUUCAGGGAUGUUCGCAUCGUACCUUCCACAGAAAGUUACCAAAUGGGCUCCUCUGCUGCUGCUGCUUAGCCUCCUUGCCACGUGGCCAUCUUGAGCCCCAUGAGACUACUGCAUCAUUCAGAGGCUGUUCUAAGGACAUUGCUCACAGCAGCAUCUGUGGUUAUGAAAUCAAGUGAUAAAGCUGAGAGACAUGAGUUUCCCUCAAGAGAUGAUUUUACAUCCGUUUUGAAAUGUUGCAUAGAUUUCUGUUUCUCUUAUAUAUUU